CGUUCCCAUCCUGUCAAAUCAACACAGUUUUAAACUGACCGGUACACAGAUUUGUCGAUCAGAUAUUUAUUAUGUUAAAUAUAAGGAUUGUAGUGCUUGUAUUUUAUUAUCUAUAUGCGUGUGUAAGCUUUGUCGAAGGUUGCAAGGAACAAUGCUUAUUCCAUUAUGACAAUUCUUUUGAGGAAUCUGAAAAAAGAUGUGGCCAGAUUUCAACAGGACGAGUUUCCAUCCAAAACAACAAAGCGUCAUUUUCUGGAUUUGGAUUCAUCGCAUUGCCAGUUUUUAAAGGCAACACCCUUCAGCCAUAUUUUGCGUUGGCCUUUCGAUUCCGGUACACAGGAGCAGUAAAGAACAGAAAGCAACCUAUUGUCUUGAUCAGUAAUGGCUGUGAAAUGAAUAGUCCUACCAUUGAAUUGAGUAUAGCUGGAAGCACCUUAACUUUAAAACUUGUAUUAACGGUGGAUGGCGAGAAAAACGAUGUAGUUCUCAUAUCCAUACCAGAUGUUGACGUAGCCAAAGAAACACAUGUGAAAAUUGGACAAGAUAACACUCGUAUUCGUAUACUAGUAGGAGAACAUCCCAUGCAUAUUAUAGAAAAAAGUAUGCAUGAACACGUAGUAUCAUCCGAAUGUCCACUUCAGAUUGGAGCUGGGCAUGGCUUACUUCCAUUUGUUGGAGAAAUUGAUGAGUUUGUGUUCUAUCCAUGCAUUAAUGAAGACUUUUUCGAAAAAGAAACAUUUCCGUAAAAUUUUAGGCCCAAGAUCUAAGCCUAAUAACAAAUAGAUCAAUUUCCAAGUUGGGAAUAUAUAUGAUUUUUGAAGAAGAACUGGCAUAGUAAUUGUAUUCAAGCAUUUCGGAACAAUAAAUAUUGAUGAGAAGGAUGUUAAAUAA